rnacentral:rRNA from 1 species
AUGGCGGCACCCAAUCAGAGGGGUGGCAGCGGCCGGAAGAAGACCGUAAUCCGCCGGAUCGAGCAGCAGGAUGCCCGGCAAGUCUCCUACGCCAAGCGCCGAGUGGGCCUCUUCAACAAGGCCAGCGAGCUGUCUGUGCUCACGGGCGCCCAGCUGGCCGCCCUCGCCUUCCCUCCCGGCGGCAAGGUAUUCUCCUUCGGCCACCCCUCCGUCGACCCCGUCGUAGAACGCUUCCUAGCGGGGGAAGGUCUGGGUGCUUGCCCGAUGGCGCAGGGCGCUGCCAAUGGCCGUUUCCUGGCGGCGGAGGGUGCCGGGGCCGGCGCGGGGGAGGGCGCUGCCGACGAAGACAACGUGAAGAGGCUGGCCCAGCAGCUCGCCGAGAUGCGCACGGAGCUGAGGGAGGUGAAGAAGCAGACGAAGCGCAUCGACAAGGCCAUGGCUAAGGAGCGCGCCGCGGGGGACCAGAUUGCGGCGUGGGUCGACCCGAAGGCGCGCGACAUGGGGGACGAGGACAUGGCGGCCUUCUUUGCCACGCUUCUGAAGGUAAAGACCGACGUCUCCGACCGGGGAUGGAGACAGAGUUACAGCAAUGGCUUAUGGCGAUGCCGCCACCGGAGUUCCCUGCCGGGUUGGAGAUGGCGCAGCAGGUGCUUGAGCCGAACGCCGAAGAAGAGGAGAUCUAAACCCGUGUCCAUCGGUUCCAGUAAAAUCAUUCAUGCAUGGACGAUAGUUCCUCAAUCUGUUUGUCGUCAGUAG